AGUGAACGCUGGCGGUAGGCCUAACACAUGCAAGUCGAACGGCAGCACAGUAAGAGCUUGCUCUUACGGGUGGCGAGUGGCGGACGGGUGAGGAAUACAUCGGAAUCUACUUUUUCGUGGGGGAUAACGUAGGGAAACUUACGCUAAUACCGCAUACGACCUGCGGGUGAAAGCAGGGGAUCUUCGGACCUUGCGCGAUUGAAUGAGCCGAUGUCGGAUUAGCUAGUUGGCGGGGUAAAGGCCCACCAAGGCGACGAUCCGUAGCUGGUCUGAGAGGAUGAUAAGCCACACUGGAACUGAGACACGGUCCAGACUCCUACGGGAGGCAGCAGUGGGGAAUAUUGGACAAUGGGCGCAAGCCUGAUCCAGCCAUACCGCGUGGGUGAAGAAGGCCUUCGGGUUGUAAAGCCCUUUUGUUGGGAAAGAAAAGCAGCAGGUUAAUACCCCGCUGUUCUGACGGUACCCAAAGAAUAAGCACCGGCUAACUUCGUG
rnacentral:rRNA from 1 species